GGAAACAGUGGCUAAGACUGGAUAGGAAGAUAAAAGGCAUCUUUUAUCUUUUUAAAGACCUAGUAAUAGGUAUGCUUUAGGAGGGGCUUGCGCCAUAUUAGUUAGUUGGUAGGGUAAUGGCCUACCAAGACGAUGAUGUGUAGCUGGACUGAGAGGUUGAACAGCCACAUUGGGACUGAGACACGGCCCAAACUCCUACGGGAGGCAGCAGUAGGGAAUUUUCGGCAAUGGAGGAAACUCUGACCGAGCAACGCCGCGUGAAUGACGAAGUACUUCGGUAUGUAAAGUUCUUUUAUCAAGGAAGAAAAGCAAAUGGCGAACCAUUUGUUUGCCGGUACUUGAUGAAUAAGCCCCGGCUAAUUAUGUGCCAGCAGCCGCGGUAAGACAUAAGGGGCAAGUGUUAUCCGGAAUUAUUGGGCGUAAAGGGUGCGUAGGCGGUCUAGUAAGUCAGUGGUGUAAUGGCAACGCUUAACGUUGUCCGGCUAUUGAAACUGCUAAACUUGAGUUAGAUAGAGGCGAGUGGAAUUCCAUGUGUAGCGGUAAAAUGCGUAAAUAUAUGGAGGAACACCAGAGGCGUAGGCGGCUCGCUGGGUCUUAACUGACGCUGAGGCACGAAAGCGUGGGGAGCAAACAGGAUUAGAUACCCUGGUAGUCCACGCCGUAAACGAUGAGUACUAAGUGUCGGGUUAAACCGGUACUGAAGUUAACACAUUAAGUACUCCGCCUGAGUAGUACGUACGCAAGUAUGAAACUUAAAGGAAUUGACGGGACUCCGCACAAGCGGUGGAUCAUGUUGUUUAAUUCGAAGAUACCCGAAAAACCUUACCAGGUCUUGACAUGUUUUUGCAAAAUGAUAGUAAUAUCGUGGAGGUUACCAGAAACACAGGUGGUGCAUGGUUGUCGUCAGCUCGUGUCGUGAGAUGUUAGGUUAAGUCCUAAAACGAGCGAAACCCUUAUCGUUAGUUGCCAGCACGUUAUGGUGGGGACUUUAACGAGACUGCCAAUGAUAAAUUGGAGGAAGGUGAGGAUCACGUCAAAUCAGCAUGCCCCUUAUGACCUGGGCUACAAACGUGAUACAAUGGCUGUUACAAAGGGUAGCUGAAACGCAAGUUCUUGGCCAAUCCCCAAAAACAGUCCCAGUCCGGAUUGAAGUCUGCAACUCGACUUCAUGAAGUUGGAAUCGCUAGUAAUCGCGAAUCAGCAUGUCGCGGUGAAUACGUUCUCGGGG
rnacentral:rRNA from 1 species